rnacentral:misc_RNA from 1 species
CCAAUCCUGGAUUCGCAAGAAUCCUUCAACACCUGUGCACUUAUAAUUGUUUCUGGGUGCUUCGGCGCCCAACCUUAUAAACCUUACUAUUUGUCUGAUAUUAUUUUAUAAUAAAAA